UACGGAGGGUGCGAGCGUUGUCCGGAAUCACUGGGCGUAAAGGGCUCGUAGGCGGCCAACUAAGUCAGACGUGAAAUCCCUCGGCUUAACCGGGGAACUGCAUCUGAUACUGGAUGGCUUGAGUUCGGGAGAGGGAUGCGGAAUUCCAGGUGUAGCGGUGAAAUGCGUAGAUAUCUGGAGGAACACCGGUGGCGAAGGCGGCAUCCUGGACCGACACUGACACUGAGGAGCGAAAGCCAGGGGAGCAAACGGG
rnacentral:rRNA from 1 species